UACGAAGGUGGCAAGCGUUGUUCGGAUUUACUGGGCGUACAGGGAGCGUAGGCGGUUGGAUAAGCCCUCCGUGAAAUCUCCAGGCUUAACCUGGAAAGUGCAGAGGGGACUGUUCAGCUAGAGGAUGGGAGAGGAGCGCGGAAUUCCCGGUGUAGCGGUGAAAUGCGCAGAUAUCAGGAGGAACACCAGUGGCGAAGGCGGUGCUCUGGGCCGGAACUGACGCUGAGGAGCGAAAGCGUGGGGAGCAAACAGG
rnacentral:rRNA from 1 species